CAAUGCUGCUUGACCCCAAUACAAACUCGACAGUAGUUCCAAAUAGCCAGAAAAUGGCACUUUGAAUUUUUCCAUCCUGCAAAAUCUAAAUAAUUCUUGUCGUAAAAUAGGCAAACGGUCUGAGGUGCCUGACGUCCAGGCAUUCUUUUACACAUCAGUCCCUUCCUAGUCUCUGUGCCCAGUGCAACUCAUCCCAAAUCUUCCUUCUUUCCCUCCCGCCUGUCCCCUCAGUACCAACCCCAAGUGUGGCUGAGUCUUUCUAAUCUUCCUUUUCUACAGACCCAUCAGACCUCUCCCUUCCUCCCCAGGCUGCUCCUCGCCAGGCCGAGCUAGGUCCCAAUUCUUCCUCAGCCUCUGCUCCUCCACCCUAUAAUCUUUUUAUCACCUCCCCUCCUCACACCUGGUCCUGCUUACAGCUUCGUUCCCUGACUAGCCCUCCCCCUCCUGCCCAGCAAUUUACUCUUAAAAAGGUGGCUGGAGCCAAAGGCAUAGUCAAGGUUAAUGCUCCUUUUUCUUUAUCCCAAAUCAGAAGCGUUUAGGCUCUUUUUCAUCAAAUAUAAAAACCCAGCCCAGUUCAUGACUUGUUUGGCAGCAACCCUGAGACGCUUUACAGCCCUAGACCCUAAAAGGUCAAAAGGCCGUCUUAUUCUCAAUAUACAUUUUAUUACCCAAUCUGCUCCCGACAUUAAAUAAAACUCCAAAAAUUGGAAUCUGGCCCUCAAACCCCAAAACAGGACUUAAUUAACCUCACCUUCAAGGUGUACAAUAACAGAAAAAAGUUGCAAUUCCUUGCAUCCACUGUGAGACAAACCCCAGCCACAUCUCCAGCACACAAGAACUUCCAAACGCCUGAACCGCAGCAGCCAGGCGUUCCUCCAGAACCUCCUCCCAUAUGAGCUUGCUACACAUGCCGGAAAUCUGGCCACUGGACCAAGGAAUGCCCGCAGCCCAGGAUUCCUCCUAAGCCACGUCCCAUCUGUGUGGGACCCCACUGAAAAUCGCACUGUUCAACUCACCUGGCAGCCACUCCCAGAGCCCCUGGAACUCUGGCCCAAGGCUCUCUGACUGACUCCUUCCCAGGUCUUCUCGGCUUAGCGGCUGAAGACUGACACUGCCUGAUCGCCUUGGAAGCCCCCUAGACCAUCACGGACGCCGAGCUUCGGGUAACUCUUACAGUGGAAGGGACGCGCAUAAAAAGAAACACAGAGGACACCCUGCCGGUUCCGAAGCAGUAGAAGUCAACGGCGGGUCUGCGAAGGCAGCAAACAGCAAUGGUGGACAGCGAGCCAAAGCUCAGCUCAAGCCAUAACAAACACGGACCAGAAGAGUGUGCAGUUGCAAGAUUUAAUAGAGUGAAAACAGAGCUCCCUUACAAUGGGAAGGGACCCAAAGGGAUUUACCACUCCCUGCUCGAAUGCCUGGGUUUAUAUCCCGAUCAUUGCCCCUCCCCCUGUGCUCUCAGUGAUAUAUGAUUUAGCUAUUUCUUUACCUUCUGGUUUUAGCCUAAUUUGUAAUUUAGUGAGCCCUCUUCACUACCUGAUUGGUCGGGUGUGAGCUGAGUUACAAGCCCUGUAUUUAAAGGUGGGUGUGGUCACCUUCCCCAGCUAGGUUUAGGAAUUCUUAGUCGGACUAGGAAAUCCAGCUACUGCUGUCUCUCAAUAGGACAUGAUCACUCCAUCAUGAUGUCAGUCUAAACAUAAUUCUUAUUUGAGUAAAGCAUAAACUUUGGCUGUAUCAGAACAACUGAUUGAGAAUUAAAGAAAGCCUGUAAUAUUAAAUUAUAUUUUUCCAUUUUAGAGAUUAUAUUUUCAGAAUGAUUAUUUAAUCCCGAAAAGUUUGAUUUUUUUGACUAUCAAUAUCAAUGGUAUUCUUUCAGUGUAAUUUCUACUACCCUUAUAGAAUGAACAUAAUUAAACAGACACAGAGAGAGACAGAGAGAGAAAGCAAGGAGAGAAGGAAAGGAAGAAAGGAAGGAAGGAAGGAAGGAAGGAAGGAAGAAAGAAAGAAAGAAAGAAAGAAAGAAAGAAAGAAAGAAAGAAAGAGAGAGAAAGAAAGCAGAAAGAAAGAGAAAGAAAGAGAAAGAAAAAAAGAAAGAAAAAGAAAACACUGAGAAUUGAGCAUUAACUGAACAACAGUUUUGUGAGACUUGAAUAUUUUUUAAAAACAUUUUACACUAUGUUUAUAUAUAUUUAAGAAAAUAAUUGUUUUAAAAUUAUGAGCUACAAAAAUACUACUCAGUUUAAUUUGUCUUUUAGAAAUAUUAAACAUUACUUAUUUUAACCCUCCUCAAAUAAGAUUACUAUUCAAGAAGAGUAAAAGAUUACUUGAAUUUCUGAAGAAAUCCAGGGUCAAGCCUUGUGACUUUGUAUUUAUAGCACUUGGCCAUAAUUAAAUCUCCAUCAUGUUUAGUGAGAUCCUUAACAGAGUAUCCUAUCUUUUUGAGAUAACAUUGCAAUUACUAUAUCAUUCAAUUUAAAAUUACUAGAUAUGCUCUUAUCAUUUGGCAGAUGUUUUAAAUGUUGUUAUCAUACUUGUAGAAAUGACAUAGGCUGGAACAAACAUUCUAAUUUCUUAUAUGACAGUUUUGCAAGUUGGUUGCCAGUGAACAGAACCAGACUGGCACUUCACUAAGUAAUCUAUUUGGCAUUUAGUAUUUUAAAAAAGAAACUUAAUUAACACACAUAAAAAUAUGCUAUUUCAUAUAAAAGCAUGCUUUUUUUGUUUCUCGCCAAAAUUCAGAAUACUUGGCAAAAAUAGGCUCACAGUCUCAGUGAGUAAGAAUCCAUUUGAGGAGAGUAGCAGUUGUCCAUUUAGCUAAAGCACCACAACUUACUAUUUUUAUUUUCUAUAUAUUUUGCUAAUUUGUAUCAAAAAUGACCCCUUUAACACUUUGACUAUGUGAUUUCCAUUAUACAACAAGUUUUAAAAUUCAUGAUAAAUUGUUUCUUAGAUAAAAUAAUACAAAUAAAAUAUAUUAUGACUAUCUUAACAGACUAGCUCUUUAUUUUUAAAAAAUUGACAGGAAACAUUGCAUGUUUUUAUCAUGCACAACAUGAUGUUUUAAAGUACAUAUACAUUGUAGAAUGAUUAAAUUUAGCUAAUUACAAAUGCAUCACCUCACAUAGCACAAAAUAUUUUGAUGGGGAACAGCUUAUCACAAAUUAAGCAACGUUCAUAAACUUAAAUGACUGAAAGUGAAAAAUUAAGUCACUAAUUUCUAUAUUUGUGAACAGAAAGAAUUAUAGUUUUUCUUUCUAGCACAGAAUAUUAUAUCAUGCAUAUGAAAUAUUGGUCCCUAGAUAUGAAAUACUACUCUCAAAAGUGAACUCAAACAAUACUUGAAUUACAAUCAGUGUAUUUGUACUCUGUAAUGGAGGACCACUAUGUUUUGUACAAAUUUUAUUUAUCAUCUUAGAGUUUUAUUUGAUCAACUACAAGAAAGAGUAUAUAAUCCUAAUUUUAAGUGCCAUUAUGCAAAUUAGAUAAAGUGAUUUUGAAAGGCCUUUACAAAUGGUAAAAUGUGUGGAAUAUAAUGGCUUUUUCCACUACCUUCUAUUUUUACUGAACUCCAAGCUCUUGGUGUGAUUAUGAGACGCAAACAUUAAACAACACAAAUAAAGAAACUGAAAACUCUGGUCAAUUAUUAAUAUAGAUAUUGUACCAAAACAUCACAAGUUUAUUUUUAACAUUAAAAAAAUUUUAGAUCAUACUAGUAAGAAAAAAAUCUCAAGGUAUAAAAUCUAUAUCAACAUUUUGUUUUAUUAUUUUCAAUUGAUUAGUUUUUCCUGAGUAUUCUGUUACUAAUCCAAUGUUUUCAAUAUUUAUUAAAUUUUAAAAUAAUUAUACA
rnacentral:lncRNA from 1 species